GAGAUGAGGAAACUGAGACAGAGAGGCCAUCGCGUGGCGGGCGCCCUCUGAGACCAGACUGAGGCUCUGGUCUCCCUGCGUCGGGGUCCAACGCUCUCGGCGCCACGCAAGGGAUAUUGGGAGCCAAGGAAGGGCUGGAUGCGUUCCGCAGGUGUGGAGAGGAGCGGAGAAACGCUGCCAUUGGGGUGUUUAACAUCACAUGAUUCCAGGACUUUGAAAUCAUCCUCAGUUUAACACUGGGAUGUCGAACAUGCAAUUUUCAAUGGACACCAAAGAGGAAUGCAGGCCAUAGCUGAGCCACUGGAAAAUCAGUCUGAACUGUUCUCUGGGGGGAAGGAGUCAUCCAGCUUCCAGCCAAAGCAAAGUGGACUAUCUGUCUUUGAACUUCAACCCCUGGCAAAGAUAAAAGUCAAGAUGACGGUAAUGGCCCAGGAUGUAAUGGAUAACCUUGACUACUUCUUUGAUGUCUUGACUGGGAUCUAAGCACUUCACAGCACCUGCUUCAGCCACCUCCAACACUAGGCUGUUACAACAAAUUGUUCUCAGCUGCCCAUUCCACCAGGCGAAGUCUCUACGUGCCUUAAGUAGGCACCCCCUAUUUCACCAAUGGGUUUGAAGUUUGUCAGUUAACCUCGACCUGGCUCAGCCCAACUGUUGAGAUGGUUUUACCAAGGUCUGGCCCCUGGGCAUACUACAAUUUCUUAGAGUCACAGGUGAGAGUUGAGUGAGAAAUGGACACCGAAGGUGGAUGAGUAACCCUGAAAAGGGCUCAGCAAGCCCUCCAACCAGAAGUGUUAGUCUUCCCUGAACAUGUCAUCAUCAGGAUUUCUCUUGAUCCCUCAAGGGAGGGCCAUUGAGCAGGAGAUGGCUGGGAUGAUAUAAGAUUUCUAAAAUGUAUUAUAAAUCUUUAGGUGCAUUUAAAUAUUAUCUGUCAUUAUCAUCAUUAUCAUUCUUCCCAAUUUUUUAAAAGAUACUCUGAGAAUACCUUCCAUAGUUGGAUUAAAAAAAAAAACUGGUUGUUUAAGAAUAUCAUUGUGGGUUGGACUAGAUGGCACUAUAAUCACAGGACUUGGGUUCUAAUUCUGGCCCUGCAAUUUGUUAGUUGUGUGACCAUGAGAUGGUCAUUUCCCCACUUGGUGCUUUUGUUUCCUGGUCUGACAAUGAGGCACUUGAGCUACCUAUCAUAUCACAGGGUGGGGCUGAGGAUAGCACUUAGUUAACCUGUAAAUCGUCAAGU
rnacentral:lncRNA from 1 species